GACGAACGCUGGCGGCGUGCCUAAUACAUGCAAGUCGAACGCUUCUUUCCUCCCGAGUGCUUGCACUCAAUUGGAAAGAGGAGUUGCGGACGGGUGAUUAACACGUGGGUAACCUACCCCUCAGAGGGGGAGAACACUUUGAAACAGGUGCUAUUACCGCAUAACAGUUUAUGCCUCAUAGCAUAAGCGUUAAAGUCGCUUUCGGGUGUCGUUGAUGGUUGGACCCGCGGUGCAUUAGCUAGUUGGUGAGGUAACGGCUCACCAAGGCCACGAUGCAUAGCCGACCUGAGAGGGUGAUCGGCCACACUGGGACUGAGACACGGCCCAGACUCCUACGGGAGGCAGCAGUAGGGAAUAUUCGGCAAUGGACGAAAGUCUGACCGAGCAACGCCGCGUGAGUGAAGAAGGUGUUCGGAUCGUAAAACUCUGUUGUUAGAGAAGAACAAGGACGUUAGUAACUGAACGUCCCCUGACGGUAUCUAAACAGAAAGCAACGGCUAACUACGUG
rnacentral:rRNA from 1 species